AUCCAUCUAACGAGUUCCAAAUAGGAUGAAACGGGCGUUGUGGAU
rfam:Schistosoma rodhaini strain Burundi genome assembly, scaffold: SROB_scaffold0000973